CCAAUAGCGUAUAUUAAAGUUGUUGCAGUUAAAAAGCUCGUAGUUGAAUUUUGGGUCUGGCCGGGCGGUCCGCCCUCUGGGUGAGCACUGUUCCGACGCCGGGCCUAUCCUUCUGGUGAGUCGGCAUGUCCUUUAUUGGGUGUGCCGGGGAACCAGGACCAUUACCUCGAAAAAAUUAGAGUGUUCAAAGCAGGCGUAUGCUCGGAUACAUUAGCAUGGAAUAAUGAAAUAGGACGCGUGGUGCUAUUUUGUUGGUUUCUAGAACCGCCGUAAUGAUUAAUAGGGAUAGUUGGGGGCAUUAGUAUUCAAUUGUCAGAGGUGAAAUUCUUGGAUUUAUUGAAGACUAACUUCUGCGAAAGCAUUUGCCAAGGAUGUUUUCAUUAAUCAAGAACGAAAGUUAGGGGAUCGAAGACGAUCAGAUACCGUCGUAGUCUUAACCAUAAACUAUGCCGACUAGGAAUCGGGCGAUGUUAUUCUCAUGACUCGCCCGGCGCCUUAUG
rnacentral:misc_RNA from 1 species